rnacentral:rRNA from 1 species
GAUGAACGCUAGCGGCAGGCUUAAUACAUGCAAGUCGAGGGGCAGCAGGGGUGUAGCAAUACACUUGCUGGCGACCGGCAAACGGGUGCGGAACACGUACGCAACUUACCCUGAACUGGGGGAUAGCCCGGGGAAACCCGGAUUAAUACCCCGUAACGCUGUGAGGUGGCAUCACCUUAUAGUUAUAGCUCCGGUGGUUCAGGAUGGGCGUGCGGCUGAUUAGGUAGUUGGUUGGGGUAAUGGCCCACCAAGCCUACGAUCAGUAACUGGUGUGAGAGCACGACCGGUCACACGGGCACUGAGACACGGGCCCGACUCCUACGGGAGGCAGCAGUAAGGAAUAUUGGGCAAUGGAGGCAACUCUGACCCAGCCAUGCCGCGUGGAGGAUGAAGGCCCUCUGGGUUGUAAACUUCUUUUACCUGGGACGAAACCUUUCUUUUCUAAGGGAGUUGACGGUACCAGGGGAAUAAGCACCGGCUAACUCCGUGCCAGCCGCCGCAGUAACAC